rnacentral:rRNA from 1 species
UGGGGAAUCUUCGGCAAUGGGCGAAAGCCUGACCGAGCCAUGCCGCGUGAGUGACGAAGGCCUUAGGGUCGUAAAGCUCUUUCGCCAGGGAUGAUAAUGACAGUACCUGGUAAAGAAACCCCGGCUAACUCCGUGCCAGCAGCCGCGGUAAGACGGAGGGGGCAAGCGUUGUCCGGACUCACUGGGCGUAAAGGGCGCGCAGGCGGGACGGCGCGUCGGCGCUGAAAGCGCCCGGCUUAACCGGGCGCGGCGCGGCGAUACGACCGACCUGGAGGCAGGCAGAGGGUGGCGGAAUUCCGGGUGUAGUGGUGAAAUGCGUAGAGAUCCGGAGGAACGCCUGUGGCGCAAGCGGCCGCCUGGGCCUGACCUGACGCUGAGGCGCGAAAGCGUGGGGAGCGAACCGGAUUAGAUACCCGCGUAGUCC